AGUGAACGCUGGCGGUAGGCCUAACACAUGCAAGUCGAGCGGCAGCACAGUAAGAGCUCGCGCUUACGGGUGGCGAGGGGCGGGCGAGUGAUAGGUACAUGGGUAUCAACGUUUGCGAGGGGGCGAAAGCGGGGACUAAUACGGUAAUAGCCCAGACGACGUAAGGGGGGAAGCAGGGGACCUUCGGCCCUUGGGCGAGCGAAUGAGGCGUUGUCGGGUUAGCUAGUUGGAGGGGUAAAGGCCCACCAAGGCGACGCUCCGUAGCUGGUCUGAGAGGAUGAUCAGCCACACUGGAACUGAGACACGGUCCAGACUCCUACGGGAGGCAGCAGUGGGGAAUAUUGGACAAAGGGCGCAAGCCUGAUCCAGCCAUGCCGCGUGUGUGAAGAAGGUCUUCGGGUUGUAAAGCCCUUUUAUUGGGAAAGAAAAGCAGUAGGUUAAUACCCCGCUGUUUUGACGUUACCCAAAGAAUAAGCACCGGCUAACUUCGUG
rnacentral:rRNA from 1 species